rnacentral:misc_RNA from 1 species
UAUAGUUUCUAUAGGAAACAAGCUCCUAUUGAUGACAUUCUUUAAACUUGUGUGUAUAUAUAUAUAAACAUAGUCUUGUAAAUGACAGGAUGCAAUCCUAUCCAAGCCUACAAAAGGUGCACAGGUGGAGAUAUAUAAAGAUGAUGGACGAGCACAUGCCUAAGCCAGCUAACAGCCACAUCAGGUUUAUUCAAUAAUGAUCCUUCCGCAGGUUCACCUACGGAAA